rnacentral:rRNA from 1 species
UACGUAGGGUGCAAGCGUUGUCCGGAAUCACUGGGCGUAAAGGGCGCGUAGGCGGCCCCUCUUAGUCGCGUGUGAAAGCCCCGGGCUCAACCUGGGAACGGCGCGCGAAACGGGAGGGCUGGAGUUCGGGAGAGGAGAGUGGAAUUCCCAGUGUAGAGGUGAAAUUCGUAGACAUUGGGAAGAACACCGGUGGCGAAGGCGGCUCUCUGGACCGAGACUGACGCUGAGGCGCGAAAGCGUGGGGAGCAAACAGGG